rnacentral:lncRNA from 1 species
CAGCAGUGCAAGUAGCACAACUUCAUCUGAGUUUUGUGAUGCAUGAGUAAUCCUGCCUCCAAGGCUGUCUGGGACUUGUGCACCACAUCCUUGCUCCAGCUAGUAACUCAGUACAGUAUUUUACAAUGUCUGGGAUAGAGAUCAUUUCUUCUGUGCAGUGUGCUGUGGUAUGUUCAUUGGGCAGAGUGCUGUCUAUGAGGAGGACUCAGUACGGUGGCACCUGUCCAUCUCGUGAUGCACAGAACUGUUUUCCAUGCUGCUGUGUGGGCUGGAAGCAGCUGAGGGCUAGGAUGCUCCCUGUGCACUCACACAGCUCCUGGCAUGGCACAGCUUCAGUUCUGGUAGCAGACAGGCCAUUGCUACAAUCUAAAUGCCUUUAAAAAAAAAGUGUCCAAGCUGACUGAAAUGCAAAAUGAAAGCAACUGUGCAGCAUAAAUCAGAUGCUGGAAGUCCUUUGCCUGAUCUACACCCAGUGUCAGCACCACAGCUCCUGGGCUCUGUGCUGAGGUGGCCAACAGGGUGUGAAGCUGUCCCAACCCACCACUCACCCACCACUUCAGACCUUGGAGGAACAAUUGGAAACCAAGAAAUGGCCUGCAAACAUCCCGAGCCACCCAGGGCUGUUUUGUAGUCAUUUGUGGAGAAAGACAUUUUGGAGGGAUGCAAUAUGCAUGGCUGCAGUGCCAUUGCAGACUGAAAGUCUGUGCAGUCAGUCCUGGUGGCAGCCUGCCUGCUCCCACACCCCAGUGGCAGGCAUGAUUCCCAGAAAAGCAGUGGCAACACAAGGGUUGAGCGUGAGAGAGGCACAGCUCUGCACAGCCCUGGGUGCCCUGCACCGAGGAGCAGCCACACUCUGCCUCCAGCUUGGUGCAUCAAAACUUCCAUCUGAAUUAAAGUUGCUCUGUUUUCCUAGAUAAAGAGACCCUUGCCCACUGCCAAAAUUUCUGGUUUCUCCUUGCUGCUGGAGUGUGGUAACUCUUAGGAAAAAGAGCUGCAGGAGGAGGAAUAAAUAAAUAAGUUCUCACUCA